rnacentral:rRNA from 1 species
UCAUUACCGAGUGGAGGGCUCACGCCCGACCUCCCACCCUUGNUGAUUAUACCAUGNUUGCCUCGGGGGUUGCCCGGCGCCUCGCGGCGGCAGGCGCCCCCGGUGGACCAUUUCAACUCGCGUUUUAUGCGUCGGUUUAAAUUGAUGAAUAUUAUCAAAACUUUCAACAACGGAUCUCUUGGUUCUGGCAUCGAUGAAGAACGCAGCGAAAUGCGAUAAGUAAUGUGAAUUGCAGAAUUCAGUGAAUCAUCGAGUUUUUGAACGCACAUUGCGCCCUCUGGUAUUCCGGGGGGCACGCCCGUUCGAGCGUCAUUACACCAAUCAAGCCUGGCUUGGUAUUGGGGCACGGGGGAGACCCGGCCCUCAAUGUCUUCGGCAGGAGCGCCCCGAUCGCAGCGUUGUGGCAUACAUUCUCGCUGGUGAGACGGGUGGUUCGCGCCGUGAAAACCCAUCAAAGGUUGACCUCGGAUCGGGUGAGGAUACCCGCUGAACUUAAGCAUAUCAAUAAGCGGAGGAGAAGAAACCAACAGGGAUUGCCCUAGUAACGGCGAGUGAAGCGGCAAAAGCUCAAAUUUGAAAGCUGGCACCAGCCCGCAUUGUAAUUUGUAGAGGAUGCUUCUGGGCAGCGGCCGGUCUAAGUUUCUUGGAACAGAACGUCAUAGAGGGUGAGAAUCCCGUAUGCGACCGGUUGGCACCCUCCACGUAGCUCCUUCGACGAAUCGAGUUGUUUGGGAAUGCAGCUCUAAAUGGGAGGUAAAUUUCUUCUAAAGCUAAAUACCGGCCAGAGACCGAUAGCGCACAAGUAGAGUGAUCGAAAGAUGAAAAGCACUUUGGAAAGAGAGUUAAAAAGCACGUGAAAUUGUUGAAAGGGAAGCGCUUGCUCCCAGACUUGUCGGCGGUGUUCCGCCGGUCUUCUGACCGGUUCACUCGCCGUCGACAGGCCAGCACCGUCUGGGGCCGCUGGAGAAAGGCAUCGGGAAUGUGGCUCCUCGGAGUGUUAUAGCCCGUUGCACAAUACAGCGAGUCCCGGGCGAGGUCCGCGC